GCCAGGCGCGGUGGUGCUUGCCUGUAGUCCCAGCUACUCAGGAGACUGAGGUGGGAGGAUCUCUUGAGUCCAGGAGUUCUGGGCUGUAGUGCGCUAUGCCGAUCGGGUGUCCGCACUAAGUUUGGCAACAAUAUGGUGACCUCCGGGAGCGGGGGACUGCCAGGUUGCCUAAGGAGGGGUGAACCGGCCCAGGUCAGAAACAGAGCAGCUCAAAACUCCCGUGCUGAUCAAUAGUGGCAUCUUGCCUGUGAAUAGCCACUGCACUCCAGCCUGGGCAACAUAGCAAGACCCCAUCUCU
rnacentral:SRP_RNA from 1 species